rnacentral:rRNA from 1 species
GACGAACGCUGGCGGCGUGCUUAACACAUGCAAGUCGAACGGAAAGGCCCUGCUUGCAGGGUACUCGAGUGGCGAGCGGGUGAGUAACACGUGGGUGAUCUGCCCUGCACUUCGGGAUAAGCCUGGGAAACUGGGUCUAAUACCGGAUAGGAGCCAUUUUUAGUGUGAUGGUUGGAAAGUUUUUUCGGUGUAGGAUGAGCUCGCGGCCUAUCAGCUUGUUGGUGGGGUAAUGGCCUACCAAGGCGGCGACGGGUAGCCGGCCUGAGAGGGUGGACGGCCACAUUGGGACUGAGAUACGGCCCAGACUCCUACGGGAGGCAGCAGUGGGGAAUAUUGCACAAUGGGCGCAAGCCUGAUGCAGCGACGCCGCGUGGGGGAUGACGGCCUUCGGGUUGUAAACUCCUUUCGCUAGGGACGAAGCUUUUGUGACGGUACCUAGAUAAGAAGCACCGGCUAACUACGUG